UUGAUGUAGAGUAAACGCAUUUCUGCGACGAUUGAACGCAGGCUACCAUCAACUAUCUAAAUUUAGAGGAAAAUCAUGUCUCAUCCAUAAGUACAGGGAAUCAUUAUUGUGUGAGUCGAUUUCAAGAAUAAUGACUGUUCGGACAAUUGCAAGUUUAGAGAUCUACGCUUUCAUCGCAUUUAUGACAACAAUGAUCAUGGUGGUCACCACAGAGGAUGAUAUUCCUGUGGGUGAGGUACUCAUGGAUGACAGGCCUGUCAUUCUACGAGGAUAUGACGGUAUACUGCAAUGUCGAGUUAGAGGUGAACCAUUGGCUGUCUUCUGGGA